GUGCUCGCUUUGGCAGCACAUAUACUAAAAUUGGAACGAUACAGAGAAGAUUAGCAUGGCCCCUGCACAAGGAUAACAUGCAAAUUUGUGAAGCGUUCCAUAUUUUU
ensembl:snRNA U6 U6 spliceosomal RNA